rnacentral:rRNA from 1 species
UACGUAGGGUGCGAGCGUUAAUCGGAAUUACUGGGCGUAGAGCGUGCGCAGGCGGCUAUGCAAGACAGAUGUGAAAUCCCCGGGCUCAACCUGGGAACUGCAUUUGUGACUGCAUGGCUAGAGUACGGUAGAGGGGGAUGGAAUUCCGCGUGUAGCAGUGAAAUGCGUAGAUAUGCGGAGGAACACCGAUGGCGAAGGCAAUCCCCUGGACCUGUACUGACGCUCAUGCACGAAAGCGUGGGGAGCAAACAGG